rnacentral:sRNA from 1 species
GCCACUUUCCAAAUAGCGCCAAUCUCCACCAGAAUGAUGCGCUCGUGGGGUCAUUUCUGGUGGAAUGCAGAGCAUAGAGCUACUCUGUUAGGCGCGUCAUUUUCACGAUGGAGACCACACCGAGAAAGCAUCUGAAGGAGGGUCACCUACUAAGAAGGCCAAUGUUCGGCCGAAGCGAGGUGCAAGGUUCAAUUGUACUAUGGGCGGGGGUUUACCGGGGGAUUUCCAUAGAAUAUCCACAUUUUGCGAGGCCUCAAUGCUUUGUUUAUGGGCGAUCCUAAAGAGUAUUUUUGUCCUUGGGA